rnacentral:rRNA from 1 species
UACGUAGGGAGCAAGCGUUGUCCGGAAUCAUUGGGCGUAAAGCGCGCGUAGGUGGCUUCGUAAGUCCGCUGUGAAAGUCAAAGGCUCAACCUUUGAAAGCCGGUGGAUACUGUGAAGCUAGAGUACGGAAGAGGCGAGUGGAAUUCCUGGUGUAGCGGUGGAAUGCGCAGAUAUCAGGAAGAACACCCGUGGCUAAGGCGGCUCUCUAGUACGGUACUGACGCUGAGACGCGAAAGCGUGGGGAGCGAACAGG